UGGCAGAGCGGUUAAAGUGAUCGACUGCUAACCGAAAGGUUGGUGGUUCAAAACCACC
rnacentral:tRNA from 1 species